rnacentral:rRNA from 2 species
GACGGAGGGUGCUAGCGUUGUUCGGAAUCACUGGGCGUAAAGGGCGCGUAGGCGGCCCUGGCAGUCGGCUUGUGAAAGCCCGGGGCUCAACCCCGGAGGUGCGGCCGAAACACCAGGGCUGGAGGCCGGAAGAGGAGGGUGGAAUACCCAGUGUAGAGGUGAAAUUCGUAGAUAUUGGGUGGAACACCGGUGGCGAAAGCGGCUCUCUGGUCCGGACCUGACGCUGAGGCGCGAAAGCGUGGGGAGCAAA